AUCCUUUUGUAGUUCAUAAGCGUGAUGACUGAGUUUUCAUGUGUAUGUGUGAGAUGUUCCUCACUCAAACCUCAUUAUCACGUCAGCACAUUACCCAUCUGACA